CAGGUUAAGGGUAGAUAUGGAGUUAGGAGGCAGGAGCAGGUAAAGGGUAGAUAUGUAGUUAGAAGGCAGGUUAAGGGUAGAUAUGGAGUUAGGAGGCAGGAGCAGGUGAAGGGUAGAUAUGGAGGCAGGAGCAGAUAAAGGGUAGAUAUGGAGACAGGAGCAGAUAAAGGGUAGAUAUGGAGGCAGGAGCAGAUAAAGGGUAGAUAUGGAGGCAGGAGCAGGUAAAGGGUAGAUAUGGAGGCAGGAGCAGGUUAAGGGUAGAUAUGGAGUUAGGAGGCAGGAGCAGGUAAAGGGUAGAUAUGGAGGUAGGAGCAGGUAAAGGGUAGAUAUGGAGGCAGGAGGCAGGUUAAGGGUAGAUAUGUAGUUAGGAGGCAGGAGCAGGUAAAGGGUAGAUAUGGAGGCAGGAGCAGGUAAAGGGUAGAUAUGGAGGCAGGAGCAUGUAAAGCGUAGAUAUGGAGUUAGGAGGCAGGAGCAGGCAAAGGGUAGAUAUGUAGUUUGGAGGCAGGUUAAGGGUAGAUAUGGAGUUAGGAGACAGGAGCAGGUAAAGGGUAGAUAUGGAGGCAGGAGCAGGUUAAAGGUAGAUAUGGAGUUAGGAGGCAGGUUAAGGGUAGAUAUGGAGUUAGGAGGCAGAUUAAGGGUAGAUAUGGAGUUAGGAGGCUGGUUAUUAAGGGUAGAUAUGGAGUUAGGAGGCAGGUUUAGGGUAGAUGUGGAGGCAGGAGCAGGUAAAGGGUAGAUAUGGAGGCAGGAGCAUGUAAAGGGUAGGUAUGGAGGCAGGAGCAGGUAAAGGGUAGAUAUGGAGGCAGGAGCAUGUAAAGGGUAGAUAUGGAGUUAGGAGGCAGGAGCAGGUAAAGGGUAGAUAUGUAGUUUGGAGGCAGGUUAAGGGUAGAUAUGGAGUUAAGAGACAGGAGCAGGUUAAGGGUAGAUAUGGAGGCAGGAGCAGGUUAAGGGUAGAAAUGGAGUUAGGAGGCAGGUUAAGGGUAGAUAUGGAGGCAGGAGCAGGUUAAAGGUAGAUAUGGAGUUAGGAGGCAGGUUAAGGGUAGAUAUGGAGUUAGGAGGCAGAUUAAGGGUAGAUAUGGAGUUAGGAGGCUGGUUAUUAAGGGUAGAUAUGGAGUUAGGAGGCAGGUUUAGGGUAGAUAUGGAGGCAGGAGCAGGUAAAGGGUAGAUAUGGAGUUAGGAGGCAGGAGCAGGUAAAGGGUAGAUAUGGAGUUAGGAGGCAGGUUAAGGGUAGAUAUGGAGUUAGGAGACAGGAGCAGGUAAAGGGUAGAUAUGGAGGCAGGAGCAGGUAAAGGGUAGAUAUGGAGUUAGGAGGCAGGUUAUUAUGGGUAGAUAUGGAGUUAGGAGGCAGGUUGUUAAGGGUAGAUAUAGAGUUAGGAGGCAGGUUUAGGGUAGAUAUGGAGUUAGGAGGCAGGUAAAGGGUAGAUAUGGAGUUAGGAGGCAGGUUAUUAUGGGUAGAUAUGGAGUUAGGAGGCAGGUUGAUAAGGGUAGAUAUAGAGUUAGGAGGCAGGUUUAGGGUAGAUAUGGAGUUAGGAGGCAGGUUAUUAUGGGUAGAUAUAGAGUUAGGAGGCAGGUUUAGGGUAGAUAUGGAGUUAGGAGGCAGGUUAUUAUGGGUAGAUAUGGAGUUAGGAGGCAGGUUGAUAAGGGUAGAUAUAGAGUUAGGAGGCAGGUUUAGGGUAGAUAUGGAGUUAGGAGGCUGUUUUUUUUAUUUUACCUUAAUUUAACUAGGC
rnacentral:lncRNA from 1 species